CAACUAUCUCUACAAUAAUACUAAUGUGCGGAUAUGCAAAUGAGCUCGCUCCGUUGAUAUCGGUCCGAUUACAUCUGAUAUCGGUCCGUUCCCAUCGAAAGUUCUUGCACGAACUCCGCAAAAACUGCUACACCCCUUGAACUGAGCUUCGGUAGUUCGGUUCCUAUGGGGUUGCGAUUGUGUGGAAAGGUCUCGAAUCUUCGUUUGCUCGCUUCCCUCGCUCCGAAUUUGCGACGUGUCUUCUCUCAAUGGGCCUUGCUCAACGAGGCCAUUUUCUUUGCUAACGCUUCGCUCUCUUUGUUUGUCUUUUCAAAGACUUUUUCUAGCGCUUUCCUGGAUGUUUUGAAAACGUCGAUUGUCAUCCAGUCAGUAGUUGUUGAUUGAAAACCUUGACCUUUGAUUCUAAAGCGAAUAUCCCUUUUCAUCCCCAACUUUUUUGAGAGAGAUCGAGUACCUUUUCAAAGGAUUUUUCAAAACAUUUCCUCCCUCUCUUUGAUGGGUAAAAUACUGGCUUUCGCGUUCGCGUUUCUAAAGGUUCUUUCUCUCUCUUUUCUCUUGCUCUCUACAAAAGGUUUCAAAACUUCUUCCUCCAGCAACCCUUCAAAUUGAACGAAGGCUUUUCAAAUUCGUUUCGCUUUCCACAAAGAAUCUACUGUGUGCCGAUAAUUUCGGUGAUUUGGAAUUGGAUGAUAAACCUACGUGCACUGCAGCUUGGCAUUCCUUUUCGAACUCGAAGCGGUUGUCGACGGUGUGUUCUGUGCUACAGUGCUACAGCUACAGCUACAGUAGCUAUGUUCACCCGCUGCUGCCCGUUUUUUUUGUUCUGCGAUGGCUGCUGGCUGUUCCCCUUCUUCACUGGCAUCAGAAUCGAUGGCAUGUGAAUACAGAUAAACGAUCGGAUUCGCUGUCUUUUUGGUACAACAAAUCAAAGAGCGUUUCAAGCAAUAAUUACGACGCAGACGUGUUUCUUGGACAUUCGAAACGAAAUUUAUGGCAUUUAUGCUGGCGUUAAAUCAAACGAUGAAACAAGAAAAAACUUGACUGUGGAGAAAAGGACUAAAGUUAUAUAAUAUAGAUUAGCUGUUGUCCGUAAAUUGUAUUUUGUUAAUUUGUUGUUAGAGUAAGAUUCCUUUCUGAUGCACGAAACUUGGCCGUUUUUUAUCUUUCUAUCUCUUAACUGCUUUGUUCCUGCAGUGUUUCAAAAGCUAAUUGUGACGAAGAUGUGAUAUGUGGACCUCAAAUGUAUAGAACUGCGUAAUAACUCUAUAACUCUUUAGAGUUUAGAAGAGGAGUCAUUAAUUCUUAAGAAAUUUUUAGAUGAUAUAUAUCUAAACGAGCACCAUGGACCAAUAACGGCUAACAGGAAUUUAUUGUUGGAAAACUUUAAUGUUUGAUUCAAAAUAAACAGAGGAAGUUUAAAGGUGGCCCCAAAUUAUACCUUAAAACAGCAUCACAAGUGAACAAGAAUUGAACGAAAUGCUCUGAUAAAGAUAUUCACGUUGGAUUCAAAAUGAACAUUACAGCUUUAAGAAUGGCCUUAGAAAAUAUUUUCAAGCGCCCUAUAAGUCGACGAGGGCUAAGAAUGUAUGAUUGGAAAACUCAAAAAUUUGAUUCUGACUAAAUAGGAGAAAUUAUAGGAUUAACUCAUGAAAAUGAUGGGGGCUGGCAGAAGUAUGUAGCUGUCAAGUUUAAAGUAGAAUUCAGAAUAUUAAACAAAGCUUUUAGAUAAGCCUGCAAGAUAUUUAAACGAGCACCACGAUUCACCGAGAGAUAAAAGAAAAUGGAAGUUUUAAAACAUUGCAAUUAGAAUAAGCAGGAGAAAUAAAGAGGGUAACCCGUGAAAGUAUUUAAGCAAGGACCCCAAAUAGAUCGUGGCUUACAAAAUGUAUUGCAGCAACUUUCUGUAUUGCCUUGAUAUUGCAACCGUUUAUGUAUCAAAUUGAUAUGCACAUUUUAAUAAACGGAAGAGUAGCUCCCAGUAAAUCCCGCUCUGCGGGCACCCUAUGGCCCCAAAAUGGGAUAGUAAGAUUAGCCUCUGAAAGUCAAGAGUGCUAUUAACCUUGAUUUCAAAGGGGUUCAGAUGGUGAUGAAAGCUAUGAUAUUGCUAAUUGGUAAUCGUAAUAAUCGAGGAACUACUCAUUGGAUUGGUUCUAUUAGGAAUUUCGCAAGUAUCGGUAUCUGGAGCCAGCAAGUAAUUAAGUUUGGGUUUACUUUUCUAAAAGGAUUUACUGAAUUACAAUCAAGGUAAUAAGGCAUUAUCUUCCUACACGAAAAUAGCUCUUAUCUCAAUUGGGUUGUUGCUGCAAGUAAAUAAUACUUUGUCCUCGAGCAAUUAUUUCCUGCUCUUGCCAAUAGUAUAUGCUACUCACAGUAGGCGUGACUAUGGAUUAGAUUAAUUAUGUUUGCCUUUUGUCACGUUUAAAGUGUCCUUGCCUGCUUGCUGUAUGAUAUUACACUUUUUGCUUGCAUUCCUUAUUAAAUUGAAAGAAUGU